UACGUAGGGCGCAAGCGUUAUCCGGAAUUAUUGGGCGUAAAGCGCUCGUAGGCGGUUUGUUGCGUCUGCCGUGAAAGUCCGGGGCUCAACUCCGGAUCUGCGGUGGGUACGGGCAGACUAGAGUGAUGUAGGGGAGACUGGAAUUCCUGGUGUAGCGGUGAAAUGCGCAGAUAUCAGGAGGAACACCGAUGGCGAAGGCAGGUCUCUGGGCAUUAACUGACGCUGAGGAGCGAAAGCAUGGGGAGCGAACAGG
rnacentral:rRNA from 1 species